GCCUUCAUGGCUCAGUUGGCAGAGCGUCUGCCUAGUAAGCAGAAGGUCAGCGGUUCGAUUCCGCUUGAAGGCA
rfam:Absidia glauca strain CBS 101.48 genome assembly, contig: contig_3057